rnacentral:rRNA from 1 species
GCGCACCAGUCGAGAAAACUUCACACUGUGCGAAAGCACGAUGAGGGAAUCCCAAGUGCUUGCACGUAAGUGUAAGCUGUUUCUCUGUCUAAAACGCAGAGAGAGUAAGGGCUGGGUAAGACGGGUGCCAGCCGCCGCGGUAAUACCUGCAGCUCAAGUGGUGACCGUUAUUAUUGGGCCUAAAACGUCCGUAGCCGGUUUAAUAAAUGCCUGGGUAAAUUGUGUAGCUUAACUAUACGAAUUCCGGGUAGACUGUUAAACUUGAGACCGGGAGAAGUUAGAGGUACUCCUGGGGUAGAGGUGAAAUUCUGUAAUCCUAGGGGGACCACCAGUGGCGAAGGGCGUCUAACUAGAACGGGUCUGACGGUGAGGGGACGAAGCCCU